rnacentral:misc_RNA from 1 species
GAUGAAGAACGUAGUGAAUUGCGAUAAGUAAUGUGAAUUGCAGAAUUCAGUGAAUCAUCGAAUCUUUGAACGCACAUUGCGCCCCCUGGUAUUCCGGGGGGCAUGCCUGUUCGAGCGUCAUUUCACCACUCAAGCCUCGCUUGGUAUUGGGCAUCGCGGUCCGCCGCGCGCCUCAAAUCGACCGGCUGGGUCUUCUGUCCCCUAAGCGUUGUGGAAACUAUUCGCUAAAGGGUGUUCGGGAGGCUACGCCGUAAAACAACCCCAUUUCUAAGGUUGACCUCGGAUCAGGUAGGGAUACCCGCUGAACUUAAGCAUAUCAAUAAGCGGAGGA